rnacentral:rRNA from 1 species
ACAGGGAUUGCCCCAGUAACGGCGAGUGAAGCGGCAACAGCUCAAAUUUGAAAUCUGGUCCCCUUGCGGGGCCCGAGUUGUAAUUUGAAGAGGAUGCUUCUGGCAAGGUGCCUUCCGAGUUCCCUGGAACGGGACGCCGCAGAGGGUGAGAGCCCCGUACGGUAGGACGCCGAGCCUCUGUGAAGCUCCUUCGACGAGUCGAGUAGUUUGGGAAUGCUGCUCAAAAUGGGAGGUAAACCCCUUCUAAAGCUAAAUACCGGCCAGAGACCGAUAGCGCACAAGUAGAGUGAUCGAAAGAUGAAAAGCACUUUGAAAAGAGAGUUAAAAAGCACGUGAAAUUGUUGAAAGGGAAGCGCUUGCGACCAGACUCGCGCCCGUCGGAUCAGCCGUCGCUUGUCGGCGGCGCACUCCGGCGGGCUCGGGCCAGCAUCAGUUCGCCUCGGGGGGAGAAAGGCGGCAGGAAUGUGGCUCCUCGGAGUGUUAUAGCCUGCCGUGUAAUACCCCCGGGCGGACUGAGGACCGCGCGUAUGCAAGGAUGCUGGCGUAAUGGUCGUCAGCGACCCGUCUUGAAACACGGACCAAGGAGUCGUCCUAAUAUGCGAGUGUACGGGUGUCAAACCCCUGCGCGUAAUGAAAGUGAACGGAGGUGAGAGCUUCGGCGCAUCAUCGACCGAUCCUGAUGUUCUCGGAUGGAUUUGAGUAAGAGCAUAUUGGGCCGGACCCGAAAGAAGGUGAACUAUGCCUGUGUAGGGUAAAGCCAGAGGAAACUCUGGUGGAGGCUCGCAGCGGUUCUGACGUGCAAAUCGAUCGUCAAACAUGGGCAUGGGGGCGAAAGACUAAUCGAACCUUCUAGUAGCUGGUUUCUGCC